GCUUACCACGGUGUGGCCGAUGACUGGGGU
rnacentral:sRNA from 1 species